GACGAACGCUGGCGGCGUGCCUAAUACAUGCAAGUUGAGCGCUGAAGGUUGGUACUUGUACCAACUGGAUGAGCAGCGCACGGGUGAGUAACGCGUGGGGAAUCUGCCUUUGAGCGGGGGACAACAUUUGGAAACGAAUGCUAAUACCGCAUAAAAACUUUAAACACAAGUUUUAAGGUUGAAAGAUGCAAUUGCAUCACUCAAAGAUGAUCCCGCGUUGUAUUAGCUAGUUGGUGAGGUAAAGGCUCACCAAGGCGAUGAUACAUAGCCGAACUGAGAGGGUGAUCGGCCGCAUUGAGACUGUGACACGGCCCAAACUCCUACGGGAGGCAGCAGUAGGGAAUCUUCAGCAAUGGACGAAAGUCUGACCGAGCAACGCCGCGUGAGUGAAGAAGGUUUUCGGAUCGUAAAACUCUGUUGGUAGAGAAGAACGUUGGUGAGAGUGGAAAGCUCAUCAAGUGACGGUAACUACCCAGAAAGGGACGGCUAACUACGUG
rnacentral:rRNA from 1 species